CUUUUCCUUCACCAUCCAACAAAGCCCAGAAAACUGAGAGAACGAAUGGCGAGGUGCUGAGAGAGAACAUGGAAGAAGAAAUUAGCCCCGUGGAGCAACAUCACAACUCCAGUGCAACCCAACACAAACAGCUCCACAACCAUAUCCUCUUUCUCCGAAGAAAUUACCUUACCCGAGUUCCGAGAGACAGAGACAGAGAGACCUCAAAACUGAAGAUGACCCUCUCAAGCCUAUCGCCUUACACGAGAAGAAACCUCGUAAAGAAAACUUCUACUCUGUGUAGCAAGGAAUAUCUGAAUCUUAUUAGACAAUCAAUCGACUACAGUUAGUUCUGGCCAUUUAAGACCGCUAGAUGCAAGGGCUGAUGGAGAUUGAUACACGCGAGUUUUAGGGGAAGAGGAACAACUAGAAGGGGAAAAAGCGUUGAAUUUUAGAAUGCGUGCAUAUCUAACUGCAGUGGAAGACCGAGCAACUUGGGCAUUUUAUCUCUGAACAGAAUCACCCAGAAGUGAUGAGUGAUGAUUUAGUAGCACCGACCCG
rnacentral:misc_RNA from 1 species